UUAAGCGACUAAGCGUACACGGUGGAUGCCCUGGCAGUCAGAGGCGAUGAAGGACGUGCUAAUCUGCGAUAAGCGUCGGUAAGGUGAUAUGAACCGUUAUAACCGGCGAUUUCCGAAUGGGGAAACCCAGUGUGUUUCGACACACUAUCAUUAACUGAAUCCAUAGGUUAAUGAGGCGAACCGGGGGAACUGAAACAUCUAAGUACCCCGAGGAAAAGAAAUCAACCGAGAUUCCCCCAGUAGCGGCGAGCGAACGGGGAGCAGCCCAGAGCCUGAAUCAGUGUGUGUGUUAGUGGAAGCGUCUGGAAAGGCGCGCGAUACAGGGUGACAGCCCCGUACACAAAAAUGCACAUGCUGUGAGCUCGAUGAGUAGGGCGGGACACGUGGUAUCCUGUCUGAAUAUGGGGGGACCAUCCUCCAAGGCUAAAUACUCCUGACUGACCGAUAGUGAACCAGUACCGUGAGGGAAAGGCGAAAAGAACCCCGGCGAGGGGAGUGAAAAAGAACCUGAAACCGUGUACGUACAAGCAGUGGGAGCACGCUUAGGCGUGUGACUGCGUACCUUUUGUAUAAUGGGUCAGCGACUUAUAUUCUGUAGCAAGGUUAACCGAAUAGGGGAGCCGAAGGGAAACCGAGUCUUAACUGGGCGUUAAGUUGCAGGGUAUAGACCCGAAACCCGGUGAUCUAGCCAUGGGCAGGUUGAAGGUUGGGUAACACUAACUGGAGGACCGAACCGACUAAUGUUGAAAAAUUAGCGGAUGACUUGUGGCUGGGGGUGAAAGGCCAAUCAAACCGGGAGAUAGCUGGUUCUCCCCGAAAGCUAUUUAGGUAGCGCCUCGUGAAUUCAUCUCCGGGGGUAGAGCACUGUUUCGGCAAGGGGGUCAUCCCGACUUACCAACCCGAUGCAAACUGCGAAUACCGGAGAAUGUUAUCACGGGAGACACACGGCGGGUGCUAACGUCCGUCGUGAAGAGGGAAACAACCCAGACCGCCAGCUAAGGUCCCAAAGUCAUGGUUAAGUGGGAAACGAUGUGGGAAGGCCCAGACAGCCAGGAUGUUGGCUUAGAAGCAGCCAUCAUUUAAAGAAAGCGUAAUAGCUCACUGGUCGAGUCGGCCUGCGCGGAAGAUGUAACGGGGCUAAACCAUGCACCGAAGCUGCGGCAGCGACGCUUAUGCGUUGUUGGGUAGGGGAGCGUUCUGUAAGCCUGUGAAGGUGUGCUGUGAGGCAUGCUGGAGGUAUCAGAAGUGCGAAUGCUGACAUAAGUAACGAUAAAGCGGGUGAAAAGCCCGCUCGCCGGAAGACCAAGGGUUCCUGUCCAACGUUAAUCGGGGCAGGGUGAGUCGACCCCUAAGGCGAGGCCGAAAGGCGUAGUCGAUGGGAAACAGGUUAAUAUUCCUGUACUUGGUGUUACUGCGAAGGGGGGACGGAGAAGGCUAUGUUGGCCGGGCGACGGUUGUCCCGGUUUAAGCGUGUAGGCUGGUUUUCCAGGCAAAUCCGGAAAAUCAAGGCUGAGGCGUGAUGACGAGGCACUACGGUGCUGAAGCAACAAAUGCCCUGCUUCCAGGAAAAGCCUCUAAGCAUCAGGUAACAUCAAAUCGUACCCCAAACCGACACAGGUGGUCAGGUAGAGAAUACCAAGGCGCUUGAGAGAACUCGGGUGAAGGAACUAGGCAAAAUGGUGCCGUAACUUCGGGAGAAGGCACGCUGAUAUGUAGGUGAAGUCCCUCGCGGAUGGAGCUGAAAUCAGUCGAAGAUACCAGCUGGCUGCAACUGUUUAUUAAAAACACAGCACUGUGCAAACACGAAAGUGGACGUAUACGGUGUGACGCCUGCCCGGUGCCGGAAGGUUAAUUGAUGGGGUCAGCGCAAGCGAAGCUCUUGAUCGAAGCCCCGGUAAACGGCGGCCGUAACUAUAACGGUCCUAAGGUAGCGAAAUUCCUUGUCGGGUAAGUUCCGACCUGCACGAAUGGCGUAAUGAUGGCCAGGCUGUCUCCACCCGAGACUCAGUGAAAUUGAACUCGCUGUGAAGAUGCAGUGUACCCGCGGCAAGACGGAAAGACCCCGUGAACCUUUACUAUAGCUUGACACUGAACAUUGAGCCUUGAUGUGUAGGAUAGGUGGGAGGCUUNAUCCGGGUUGCGGACAGUGUCUGGUGGGUAGUUUGACUGGGGCGGUCUCCUCCUAAAGAGUAACGGAGGAGCACGAAGGUUGGCUAAUCCUGGUCGGACAUCAGGAGGUUAGUGCAAUGGCAUAAGCCAGCUUGACUGCGAGCGUGACGGCGCGAGCAGGUGCGAAAGCAGGUCAUAGUGAUCCGGUGGUUCUGAAUGGAAGGGCCAUCGCUCAACGGAUAAAAGGUACUCCGGGGAUAACAGGCUGAUACCGCCCAAGAGUUCAUAUCGACGGCGGUGUUUGGCACCUCGAUGUCGGCUCAUCACAUCCUGGGGCUGAAGUAGGUCCCAAGGGUAUGGCUGUUCGCCAUUUAAAGUGGUACGCGAGCUGGGUUUAGAACGUCGUGAGACAGUUCGGUCCCUAUCUGCCGUGGGCGCUGGAGAACUGAGGGGGGCUGCUCCUAGUACGAGAGGACCGGAGUGGACGCAUCACUGGUGUUCGGGUUGUCAUGCCAAUGGCACUGCCCGGUAGCUAAAUGCGGAAGAGAUAAGUGCUGAAAGCAUCUAAGCACGAAACUUGCCCCGAGAUGAGUUCUCCCUGACUCCUUGAGAGUCCUGAAGGAACGUUGAAGACGACGACGUUGAUAGGCCGGAUGUGUAAGCGCAGCGAUGCGUUGAGCUAACCGGUACUAAUGAACCGUGAGACUUAACCUU
rnacentral:rRNA from 1 species